UGGAUACGAAACUAGUCACAUGUGAUGCUUUCGUCUUGCUAAAUUUUUUAACAUGUCAUUUCAUCAAAUUCAUUUGCUGCCUUUCAAUGUAGACACAUAAGCGGAAUUUUGACAGCCAGCUCCGGUCCGCUUGUAACCUUGCUUGCAGCUAACUACCGUCGCUUGCAACUAAGGAUGAACAGUUGCAAAUAAAACAUUGUCUAUUCUCAUGACCCAAAGUUCAAUGUUUUUACCGAGAAACUUCAAUGUUUAAUCAUUUGAUGGUUUCAAUGCCGGAU